rnacentral:rRNA from 1 species
UACAGAGGGUGCGAGCGUUAAUCGGAAUUACUGGGCGUAAAGCGUGCGUAGACGGUUAUGUAAGUCGGAUGUGAAAUCCCCGGGCUCAACCUGGGAACUGCAUUUGUGACUGCAAGGCUGGAGUGCGGCAGAGGGGGAUGGAAUUCCGCGUGUAGCAGUGAAAUGCGUAGAUAUGCGGAGGAACACCGAUGGCGAAGGCAAUCCCCUGGGCCUGCACUGACGCUCAUGCACGAAAGCGUGGGGAGCAAACAGG